CAACUGACCUAUUAUAAAUCAAUAUACACAAGGCGUAGAAUUACAAUCAAUACACACUGGAAUAUUUACUACCUUGAGUGAUAAUUAGUUUCGAUUUAGAUUUAAUAUAACUGGAUAUCAACUUUAUUAUUAACGUUGACGGUGACGCUAUUAGAAGAAACUAUGGCAGCAGGGAGAGUUGUUGUGGUUGCAGUAGACGGAAGCGUCCAUUCGGAUAAUGCACUUAAAUAUUACAUUGAUCGCGUGCAGAUACCUGGUGAUAAACUUCUGCUGGUGAAUGUUCCAGAGGAAUAUAACUUUACUGAUGCCAGUCCAGGCGUUAUACACGAAUUAUUAGAAAAAAUGAAAGAAAAGGCAAGUGAAGUAGAGAAGACAUAUACAGACAGACUCAAAGAUAUCAGUGUUGAUUUCAAGUUUAGAAUAGUACACGGACACCCAGGUGAACAAAUAGUUAAAGUAGCCGAAGAAGAAAAGGCGUCGUUAGUUAUGGUAGGAAGCAGGGGUCACGGCUGGUUACGACGAACAAUACUUGGUAGCGUUAGUAAUUAUGUGAUUCAUCAUACCUCUAUUCCUGUGCUUCUCUGUAAAAAUAUGGAACCAUUAGAACUAGAAAAUCAACAAAAUUGAGGUUUAAAAUGAUGUAUAUUGGUAGAGUCGAAACGUAUAAAUGUGUAGACCAGAAACGUAUAAAUGUAUGUAGGUUGGUUAGUGGUAUGAGGCAUAGGCGUUUCACCGAUACGUUGGAUUAUACGGCGUUGGAAGCAUAUAAAAAGGCAGAGAUCAUGUUUGAUCAUAAGUAGCGGGACGUCUGAUUUUUUUUAUAGAUUAAAGGGAAAUUUGAUAAACGUCAAUGAGACAUCAACUAACUACAAAAAAUAACCAAAAGACAUCAGGAACUCGACAUACAAUCUUCAACAAUCAACCAACUGCAAAUAACCAAAAUGACAUCCAGAGGUCGACAUACAAUCUUCAACAAUCAGCCAACUACAAAAAUAAUCAAAAUGACAUCCAGAGGUCGACAUACAAUCUUCAACAAUCAACCAACUACAAAAAUAACAAAAUGACAUCCAGAGGACGACAUACAAUCUUCAACAAUCAACCAACUACAAAAAUAACAAAAUGACAUCCAGAGGUCGACAUACAAUCUUCAACAAUCAACCAACUACAAAAUAACAAAAAGACAUCCAGAGGUCGACAUACAAUCUUCAACAAUGAACCAACUAUAAAAAAGCCAAAAGACAACAAGAGGUCGACAUACAAUCUUCAACAAUCGACCAACUACAAAAUAACAAAAAGACAUCCAGAGGUCGACAUACAAUCUUUAACAAUCAACCAACUACAAAAUAACCAAAAGACAUCCAGAGGUCGACGUACAAUCUUCAACAAUCAACCAACUACAAAAAUGACCAAAAGACACCCAGUGGCGACAUACAAUAUUCAACAAUCAACCAACUACAAAAUAACAAAAAGACAUCCAGAGGUCGACAUACAAUCUUUAACAAUCAACCAACUACAAAAUAACCAAAAGACAUUCAGAGGUCGACAUACAAUCUUCAACAAUCAACCAACUACAAAAAUAACAAAAAGACAUCCAGAGGUCGAUAUACAAUCUUCAACAAUCAACCAACUACAAAAAUAACAAAAAGACAUCCAGAGGUUGACAUACAAUCUUCAACAAUCAACCAACUACAAAAUAACCAAAAGACAUACAGAGGUCGACAUACAAUCUUCAACUAUCAACCAACUACAAAAAUAACAAAAGACAUCCAGAGGGCGACAUACAAUCUUCAACAAUCAAGCUAAAAAUCGUCCAAGGGUAUAUAUUAUAAGUUUUGAUAAAAGCGUAUUAUGGCACUCAUACCACAUCUUCUUAUUUGUAAUAAAAAUAACACUUAUAAUAAAUUGGUGCGUCUAAAGCGCUUUCCAGAAUUAACUUCUAUCAGGAACGUUCAAAACGAUAGAUUUUAAAGCAAAGGAUGCAUUAAUAUUUAAGGAGUUAUUUGACAAAAAAAAAAAAAGACCAGAAAAGAUAAAACAAAACCUUCAAGGUGAACUUUGCUUCUCAAUAAUUUAUAUAAACACAGAAAAAGGGGCGAAACACAUUCCUAUUUACUUGUUAUAAAAAAAAAUCUGUCACGAUUUGACAGAUUUGCUAAAAAAAAAAGCAAACGACUAGAAUUACGUCAACAAAGAAAAAUGUAAUUGCUAUUCUAAAACAUAAAAUAUAUUAUCAAUGUGAAAUGUUUCAGAUAGUGUUUUCUUUUGAAAAUAAAUUAUUUAUAUUUGUC